ACCGAAGCUGCGGCAGCGACACUGUGCGUUGUUGGGUAGGGGAGCGUUCUGUAAGCCUGCGAAGGUGGCCUGUGAGGGUUGCUGGAGGUAUCAGAAGUGCGAAUGCUGACAUAAGUAACGAUAAAGCGGGUGAAAAGCCCGCUCGCCGGAAGACCAAGGGUUCCUGUCCAACGUUAAUCGGGGCAGGGUGAGUCGACCCCUAAGGCGAGGCCGAAAGGCGUAGUCGAUGGGAAACGGGUUAAUAUUCCCGUACUUGGUGUUACUGCGAAGGGGGGACGGAGAAGGCUAUGUUGGCCGGGCGACGGUUGUCCCGGUUUAAGCGUGUAGGCUGGUUUUCCAGGCAAAUCCGGAAAAUCAAGGCUGAGGCGUGACGACGAGGCACUACGGUGCUGAAGCAACAAAUGCCCUGCUUCCAGGAAAAGCCUCUAAGCAUCAGGUAACAUCAAAUCGUACCCCAAACCGACACAGGUGGUCAGGUAGAGAAUACCAAGGCGCUUGAGAGAACUCGGGUGAAGGAACUAGGCAAAAUGGUGCCGUAACUUCGGGAGAAGGCACGCUGACAUGUAGGUGAAGUGAUUUACUCAUGGAGCUGAAGUCAGUCGAAGAUACCAGCUGGCUGCAACUGUUUAUUAAAAACACAGCACUGUGCAAACACGAAAGUGGACGUAUACGGUGUGACGCCUGCCCGGUGCCGGAAGGUUAAUUGAUGGGGUCAGCGCAAGCGAAGCUCCUGAUCGAAGCCCCGGUAAACGGCGGCCGUAACUAUAACGGUCCUAAGGUAGCGAAAUUCCUUGUCGGGUAAGUUCCGACCUGCACGAAUGGCGUAAUGAUGGCCAGGCUGUCUCCACCCGAGACUCAGUGAAAUUGAACUCGCUGUGAAGAUGCAGUGUACCCGCGGCAAGACGGAAAGACCCCGUGAACCUUUACUAUAGCUUGACACUGAACAUUGAGCCUUGAUGUGUAGGAUAGGUGGGAGGCUUUGAAGUGUGGACGCCAGUCUGCAUGGAGCCGGCCUUGAAAUACCACCCUUUAAUGUUUGAUGUUCUAACGUGGACCCGUAAUCCGGGUUGCGGACAGUGUCUGGUGGGUAGUUUGACUGGGGCGGUCUCCUCCUAAAGAGUAACGGAGGAGCACGAAGGUUGGCUAAUCCUGGUCGGACAUCAGGAGGUUAGUGCAAUGGCAUAAGCCAGCUUGACUGCGAGCGUGACGGCGCGAGCAGGUGCGAAAGCAGGUCAUAGUGAUCCGGUGGUUCUGAAUGGAAGGGCCAUCGCUCAACGGAUAAAAGGUACUCCGGGGAUAACAGGCUGAUACCGCCCAAGAGUUCAUAUCGACGGCGGUGUUUGGCACCUCGAUGUCGGCUCAUCACAUCCUGGGGCUGAAGUAGGUCCCAAGGGUAUGGCUGUUCGCCAUUUAAAGUGGUACGCGAGCUGGGUUUAGAACGUCGUGAGACAGUUCGGUCCCUAUCUGCCGUGGGCGCUGGAGAACUGAGGGGGGCUGCUCCUAGUACGAGAGGACCGGAGUGGACGCAUCACUGGUGUUCGGGUUGUCAUGCCAAUGGCACUGCCCGGUAGCUAAAUGCGGAAGAGAUAAGUGCUGAAAGCAUCUAAGCACGAAACUUGCCCCGAGAUGAGUUCUCCCUGAGACUUUAGGUCUCCUGAAGGAACGUUGAAGACGACGACGUUGAUAGGCCGGGUGUGUAAGCGCAGCGAUGCGUUGAGCUAACCGGUACUAAUGAACCGUGAGGCUUAACCUUACAACGCCGAAG
rnacentral:rRNA from 1 species